AUGCAUGUUUUGCUUGAUCUGGUUGCAACAAUUCUUUUUCCUUUCGACUUCCUAGACUUUCUGAGUUUGGGAGUGUCUGUAUUGUUGCGUUAUGGAAAUAAAGAACAGCUACAUAAAUGGCUUAUACCUUUACUCAACAGUAAGAUCCGGUCUGGAUUUGCAGUGACAGAACCACAAGUUGCAUCUUCUGAUGCUACCAAUAUUGAGUGUUCUAUUAAAAGAGAAGGAGAUACAUAUGUCAUUAAUGGGACGAAGUGGUGGACAAGUGGGGCCAUGGAUCCAAGGUGCAAAAUUCUCAUAGUCAUGGGAAAAACUGACUUCACUGCCGCUAAGCAUAAACAGCAGUCUAUGAUCAUAGUGGAUACCCAUACUCCUGGUGUACACAUAAAGAGACCCCUAAUGGUAUUUGGCUUUGAUGAUGCACCUCAUGGGCAUGCAGAGGUAUCAUUUGUCAAUGUACAUGUGCCAGCAAAGAACAUUCUAUUAUGGAGAAGGACGUGGAUUUGAGAUUGCCCAAGGUAGGCUAAGACCGGGAAGGCUGCACCACUGCAUGAGACUGAUUGGUGCUGCUGAGCGUGGCAUGCAGAUGAUGGCUCAGAGGGCUCUUAGUAGAAGAGUUUUUGGAAAGUUGAUUGCAGAACAAGGUUCAUUUAUUUCAGAUAUUGCAAAGUGUCGGAUAGAGCUAGAGAAAGCCAGAUUGUUGGUUUUGCAAGCAGCUGACCAACUUGAUAAGCUUGGAAACAAAAAGGCCCGUGGGAUUAUUGCAAUGGCCAAGGUAGCAGCCCCAAACAUGGCAUUGAAGGUGCUUGACAUGGUGAUGCAACAAGUGCAUGGUGGAGCUGGUUUAUCUUCUAAUACCGUUCUGGCACAUCUUUGGGCCACAACAAGAACAUUACGAAUUGCAAAUGGUCCAGAUGAAGUCCACUUGGGUACUAUUGGCAAGUUGGAACUGCAAAGAACUAGGCUUUAA